GAUGAACGCUGGCGGCGUGCUUAACACAUGCAAGUCGAACGAAGCACUUUAUUUGAUUUCCUUCGGGACUGAUUAUUUUGUGACUGAGUGGCGGACGGUUUAGUAACGCGUUGGUAACCUGCCUUGUACAGGGGGAUAACAGUUGGAAACGGCUGCUAAUACCGCAUAAGCGCACAGCAUCGCAUGAUUCAGUGUGAAAAACUCCGGUGGUAUAAGAUGGGCCCGCGUUGGAUUAGCUAGUUGGUGAGGUAACGGCCCACCAAGGCGGCGAUCCAUAGCCGGAGGGAGAGGGGGAACAGUCAGAUUGGGACAGAGACACGGCCCAAACUGGUACGAGAAGUAGGAGAGGGGAAUAAAGCAGAAUAGGCGAAAGGCUGAGGCAGCGAGGGGGGGAGAGCGAAGAAGGAGUUGUGUAUGUAAAGCGCUAGCAGCAGGGAAGAUAAUGACGGUACCUGACUAAGAAGCACCGGCUAAAUACGUG
rnacentral:rRNA from 1 species